rnacentral:tRNA from 1 species
ACCCAGCUGGCUCAGUCGGGAGAGCGUGCGACUCUUGAUCUUGGGGUCGUGAGUUCGAGCCCCACCUUGGGUG